CUUUGGCCCAGCCGCUUCAUUCUUUCUGGAGGUAUUAGUAAUUGUCCUCCACUCUUCCCCAGUAGUACAUUGGAUACCUUCUGACCUGAGGGGCUCAACUUUUGGUGUUACAUCUUUUGCCUUUUUAUACAGUGGAAUGAAGAAUUCUC